rnacentral:rRNA from 1 species
CCUACGGGGGGCAGCAGUGAGGAAUAUUGGUCAAUGGCCGUAAGGCUGAACCAGCCAAGUAGCGUGAGUGAAGACUGCCCUAUGGGUUUUAAACCUCUUUUAUGCGGAGAUAAGGGUGUCCACGUCUUGAUUUUUGCAGUUACCGCAUGUAUAAGGACCGGCUACUUCCGUUCCAGCAGCCGCGGUAAUACGGAAGGUCUGAGCGGUAUCCGGGUUUAUUGGGUUUAAAGGGAGCUUAGGCCGGUGUUUGAGCGUGCCGUGAAAUUUUGGGGCUCAACCAUGAGAGUGCGGCGGGAACUGGAGACCGUGAGUGCGCGGAAGGCAGGCGGAAUUCGAGGUGUAGCGGUGAAAUGCUUAGAUAUCAGGAAGAACCCCGAUUGCGAAGGCAGCCUGCCGCAGCGUUACUGACGCUGAGGCUCGAAAGCGCGGGGAGCGAACAGGAGUAGAUACCCGUGUAGUC